UGGAAAUAUCCUGCAGUUAGAUGUUAAGGACAUGAGCAAAUCCUUAACCAAUGCUCCAACCAAGUACAGUGAAACUGGAAUGUACAGAGUGGACAAUGGAACGAAGGAGAACAAGACCAAAGGACAUUUUAUUUUUAUCUGUAUCAGUGGGUCAAAGUCCUUUCAGAAGGAGCAUAUAGUGGACCUAGGUGAUUGGUCAAUUUAUCCAUCAAAGAGGCACACACCGAAUU
rnacentral:lncRNA from 1 species